AAAAUCAAAAAAUUUUUUUCUUAUCGCAUGAAAAUAUUAUUGUCGUAAUCUUAAACCAAAAAAAGUGGAUCGGUAUCUGUGAAAAUAAGAAAACGAUUAUUUGAUGAUUUUGCUCUAAGUAAUUCUGUCAUGGAACAUGAAAUAUUUAUAACCAAGCACACUGUACAAGAAAAAACAUUUUAUUUAAAAGUACUUUGGAGAUGGAAUCCUGAAGAACUAUUUUAUAUUUAUAUCAAUAAAGACAAUUCAAGUUGGUCUGGUGAAUAUUCCAUUCAAUCAGCAAAUAAAUAUAGAGAAGAGUAUACUGAUGAUUCUGAGGAAGAAUUUAUCGAAAAUGUUAAAAGAGCAUUUAGACAAAAUAACAGUGACUUUGACUACGACUUUAGUUCACUUAAAGAUAAAUCAUCUUCAAAAUUUACAUGGAAAAAAAGAUUUGAAGGAAAAAAAGUUAUACAAGGUACAGUAAAUGUAGUUUGGGAUGAUGUACCCACAACCAGGGAGACUUUAAUUGAUAAUUUGUUACAAGAAAACGAACAAUUAAAAACAACCAUUAGAAAUAAUAAAGUAAAAACUAAAGCUCAAGAAGAAGAAUUAGAAAAGUGUAAAAACACUAUAGAGAAAUUUGUAGACAUCAAGACAACAGUUGAAGAAACAUUAUAUGCAAAGUUUGUCCAAAUUUUGAAUGAAAAGAAGAAAAGAAUAAAAUUGUUACAAGAAUCUUUGCAAAAAUUGGGAGUAUCAAAUGUUUAUAAUUCAGAAAGUGAAUAAUUUAAUUUUUCACAUUGAAAAACUAUGAUCAUAUUUUUAUAAUCUUAAUUAAAAAAGAACUCUUAAAUAUUUUGAAAAUCAGAAAGUUUUAUAUUCGACAUCUUUCAAUAUAUCAUAAGUGUUUUUAAUUUAAUUACAUAUUAUACAUAUAUGAAGAACUGAAAUAUGCAAUUAUCAUGAAAACUAUUACAUAAAGUAAACUUUAUAGAUAUUAAAUAAUAUUAAAAUAGUGCUCUACACAGCAGCUGUGCCGUAUGAUUUUUUCUUUGUAGCUUAGUAAUGCACCUGUUUCUUUUAGUGCAAGUCUUAAUUAUUACAUGAUUAAAAAUAUUUUGUAUUCUUUCUGUUAUAAUAUUUAGAAAAGAGUUAACAUGAGUUUUUCAUACAUCCUUUCUAGUGAUGAAACACUAUAAAAAAUUAGGGUAGUUGUGAUAUUAUACAAUUGAACUUUAA